CUGGACCUGUUCACGUCUCAUUUAAGCCGUCAGCAUGAUGAAAUCACAGAGUAACUGAGGCAGAGGUUGACAAAGUGGACUAUGAACCUGAAAAAUCUUUAUUUAAAGCAUUCCUGCACAUUGGCUCCCCAAAAGAAUUUGUACUUCAGUAACAGGUCACACCACAAAUCUUUGAGAAACUGUUUGCGACAGCCGACUACAUAAUGCAGAAGCCAAUAUCAUUGAAAAAGUCUGAGUCAUGAGUUAUAAAAACCUUUGAUUAAUAAUGGCUGUUGAAUCACAACAAUAGUAAGAAACAUGCCAACACAUUUCAGCCUUCAUCAGGGAUCUAACAUUUAUAGGGUAGCAGACAAUCCCAUGAUCAGUAUCACCAAGUAAUUAGUUACAUGACUGGUCUAGUCACAUGAGAAUGACGACAGGUGAGCAGCAACAUGAUUGGUCAAGACAACCACUUGGCAUGCAGGUAGGUGAACUGUCACAUGAUAAGUAUGAGCAGGUUGGUAUUCACAUUGGCUGUGUCCCAAUUCAGGGGCUGCAUCCUUCGAAGGACCCGGCCUUGGCAACUUUGGAAGACGAAACCUUCGAAUACGCCACGCGAUGUCGCCAUUUUCUUUCUUUCUUCUUUUUAGGGCGUACAAAGAAUCUUGGGAUAUGUGAGGCCGCCAAGGAUAGUAGCAGUGCAUCCUCCAAAAAGAGGGAAAAGAGGGCCGUAUUUGAAGGAGCAUUCGAAUUGGGGCACCCUCCGCGUGGCACUGAAGGAUGUAGCCUCUGAAUUGGGAUACAGCCAUAGUUAGGCAUGUUUAGCAGAAACCAAGCUGCUGUCUUUGCAUGCUGAUUGUGUCAGUAGCCAGUAUGUUGCACAUCAUCGUAGUACAGAGAUCUUGAGGUUGAGUUGGGAUUAUCACAGCAACAAUUACAGGUGUUGAUACAACCUCUACAUCAGCUGGCAUAGAAGUGCCUACUUGAUUUCAUGUAAUGACAAAAGCCAACAUUUCAUUAGUUUGAGGGGAAACAAAUCUCAAAAUCACAAUCGUACCACAGAUUUGUUAAUCUUGUGCCAGCUGUGGGUCACUGCCUCUGUUCACCGGCGAAUCCAAACGUAUAACAGGUUUGAAUAUCUGUGAUUCCUUCAAGUCCCACAUUUUCAAAAAAAACACAGAAACAUUUGUUGUGCAUGUGCAUGAUCUUCAUUUCAAAACCAACAAAGAAAAAAAAAAAACGGUGGUCCUUUGCCAGAUUCUCUGCAUUCCCUUGUUGUCUGGGAGAAUCAUUGCAGAUCCAGCCGGAAGGAAUGAGAACAAUUCUGCUAGCUGGCACCUUUUUGGGUUGGUGAAACAUUGCACCCUUUCUUUUUAUUAUUUAUAUGUGUAUUUUGGCACUUUGUAUUUUGAAAUGCCAUGUUCAAUCUUUUUUUUUUUCUGUGAAAUGCCAACAGGGGAUGUUGCUCCAUCACAAAGCUUUUAUUUUCUACCAUGGCUGCAGUUUUUGAGUUUGUUGAGGUAAAUAGCCGUUUCAGAGGUUUUUGAUGGAGCAGCAUCGUUGACACGAUUGUUCUGUCUGUCGGCUGAACUGCUGGAUUUACCAUAAAGGAAAAUGAUAACUGUAUGGAGGCCACUCUUGGCUUUCCGCAGCAUCCACGGAGACUUAAUUAUCUCAUAACGGCUUAAUUAUCUUGAGAAAACAAAAGAUUUUUUCCUUUUAAGAUAGGAACAGAAGAACCUUUCCAAGUCCAGUUUCAACAAUUUCAAAGCAGUCGCUCAAAAAAAAUGUAAGUCAAAUUGUUUGGGUGUUGGACUUCAGUCAUUGUUUGUUUGUUUGUUUGUUUUCUUUUGGCCUGCAUAUUGUUUCUGUCAAUCUCUGCCCACAUGACUGACACAGAUAUAAAACAACAGUUCAUGAUGGCGAUGGUGUUCAGAGCAUAUUUAAAAACUUAGAUGUCUCAUAUGAAUCUGUACAGGUGUGACAGGUGCUGAUACUGACAGCCUUUGUGUUGGACCUUGAGUCCUGGACAUUCAUAAUUUACCUAUCAUAUGUGUUAAAGGACAUUUCUCUCAGGUACAAGUGACCAUAUUGUUGUCUGUAGGCCAUUAAAGAUGUUCGUCCCUGGAUUGAGGUACUCUGAUGAAAGAAAAAAGCAUCAACUCUCCUUUUGCAGCUUUGUUUGUCUUCAUUGUGUUUCUGUGCGCCUGUUGUUUUUCUAUAUUGACUCGGUCUUUGCCCUGUUGGCUCAGAAGACCGUCUGAAUCUUCUCAGCGACACUUUAUCAGAGGAUCUGGACAGAACGCUGCGUCAGGAGUCUCAAUGGCGAGCACGACUACAGUAUUACUACCUGACAGCUCAGCAGGAAUGAUAUUGUGUAUUUGUAGUUGAGCCUUUCUGUCUUAAUCUUUUUUAUUCUGUUUAUUUUUUUAGCUACAGAGUCACAGAGGAGAGUCAUCAAGCUGCAGGCCAAAAAAAUAAACAAUGCACAGGUUUACUUAGCCGUAUAGCUAACGCCCUGUCUGACAAAGGUGUCUACGCAGAGUCGUCUCACACGGAGCUCAGGCACAUCGCCUCCGAGUGUAUUCAAGCUGAAAUGAAACUGAUCACUCAUCGCAGGAGCUCAGGACAUCUCCUGGGUGUCUUGUGGUUCUCCUGUAUGAGAGGAUGUAACAUUAACUCCAACAAGCUGGGCUUCUUUGGAUGGAGUAUCGAGGUCCAUAAUGGUCGCCAGAAUCUGCCCGACACCGUCCAACCAGGGUAAGACCGGACCACUGAUGCCCAUCAUCAGCCCAGCACAUCCACAGCAGAGCACCAGUUUCAACAUGUCCCUGUCCACCUUUGACACCAUCACACAGGAGAUUGAACGAGGGUCGGCCUGGUGAAAUCUAAAAUCAGACUCCUGGUGGGGAAUGUGGACAGACAGGAGAACAAUUCCCUGGACCACAUGAACCCACAGUCCUUCACUAUCCCCGCAAAGGCCAAUGACAACGGGAGUCUAAAACCAUGAACAUAGACCUGACCUUUGACCUUACUGCCUGCAAAGUAAGUUCUCGCUGAAAAAAAAAACAAAAUGUCUGCCACCAUACCUCCUGAGAAAGGCGGGUUGGACUCUGAGACGCUGGCCAAGAUGUUUAAAGCUUACAAGCCAGUGUGUAAAAAGUACAAGUUGGAGUUUUAUGGGGGUUUAUGAGCUGGACUGUUACCUGGUUGGGCACAAUCACUUCCUGGAGUCUCCACUGAACACCUGGCACCUGAUGUGAUGUGAUGACAAGACUCCAGGAAUCAGUGUCCACAAUUCCACAGGACACCAAGAGACCUCUUUCACUUCAUUCAGGAACCAAACAAGUUUAAAGUGAAUGAAGAACCGGCUCAAGGGGCCGAAGAAAACCCGCUCAGCUGAGUCCUCGACAGCGGCAUCAUGUUUCCGUCUGUGAGCUCACAGAGCACAAAGAGACUUCUGAGUCUGAGCCGCGAACCAAGAAGGUCAAACUUGACCCGAGUCCACCUGUGGAUCUCUGACUCCGUCCCCAACGAGAAACACGCCACCAAGCUUCAUCUCGUCAGCUGGCACGGCUGGCAGCGCCGACUGCAGAGGUUCAACUGAAGGGCAACGGGGGGGCUGCUGUUCCAAGUGACAGGUUAGGAACACGUCGCUAAAAGUUUCGCCCUGGAGCCGGAGGGAUCUGUCAGUGGUGGGACGAAUGGAGGGAACUGCUGCCGCGAAUAGAAGAAGAAGAAAAGUGAGUGCUUUGCACCUGUGGCUGCUGGCAGACCAUCCGGUGUGUUGCAGCUCCGGAGGGACCUUGAAGCCCGUCGCAGUGGGAGAGAGGAGUCUGUCCUGCUAACCGUAAUUAGCACAGGCCUGUUGAUUCACUGAUAAUGAGAGGGAGUUCAUUAGCGCCACGCUAAUUGCUGCCUACUUCACCACCGCCACCACCAUCGCCGCCAUGCCAGCCCCCCAAAUCCCCCCUGCACUCCAAAAAAGUUUGCCCGUCUAUCACAUUAGAGAUGGGGGGGAGGGGAGGGGGAAGAAAAAAAAAAAAAAAGCACGAAAAUCUGCAACUUUUCAGGAGAUUGGAGUGGAAGCAGAUGGAAGAUUGUGUUUGGAUUAGUUUUGACUUAUUUUAGUGUGUGUGAACAGGGAGGGAGAGAGUAACAGAGGAAAGGAUUGGAUGAGGAAUGUUUUGGUUUCUGGCUGAUGAGCAGCAGGAGCCUUUUUGCAGAAGGGGAUGCAGAUGCACGUUGCUGGGACAGCUCCGUCCAAGGACAUGAUGGAGGUUCAAAAGCUAAUUGCCAGAACAAGCAAAACAAGAAGCAUGUCUGCUGAAUCAGCUGAAAGACAACCUCACCUGCACCUGUAUUAUAUAACCACUGUGUCACAGGCAUAUUUAUGCUUCAGUCCACUCUUGCAAGGAGUUUACUGCAACAAUCUUUGGCAAAUGUUACAUAUAUUUACUAUGCAAGAGUAUAUAUACCAACAAAUCCAUACGUAGGAGGUAUUACACAUCAUACACAAAGUACAACAAAGACAGGAACCAUAGUGGGACAAUAAAUGUGUGAGGUUGCAACCAAGACCGAUAACAAUUCAGGGGCAUAAAUCAAAUUAUGAAACAAUAUCCUAACUUUUAACAUAAAUGACUACAUUUCAUGGCAUGAUGGCAGUAUGCUUGUUAAAUUGUU